rnacentral:rRNA from 1 species
AUUUAACGCUGGCGGCAGGCCUAACACAUGCAAGUCGAACGAGUGGCGGACGGGUGAGUAAUGUCUGGGAAACUGCCCGAUGGAGGGGGAUAACUACUGGAAACGGUAGCUAAUACCGCAUACCAUCGGAUGUGCCCAGAUGGGAUUAGCUAGUAGGUGGGGUAACGGCUCACCUAGGCGACGAUCCCUAGCUGGUCUGAGAGUAUGACCGUCCACACUGGAACUGAGAAACGGUCCAGACGCCUACGGGAGGCAGCAGUGGGGAAUAUUGCAGAAUGGGCGCAAGCCUGAGGCAGCGAUGCCGCGUGUAUGAAGAAGGCCUUCGGGUUGUAAAGUACUUUCAGCGGGGAGGCGUUACUCGCAGAAGAAGCACCGGCUAACUCCGUGCCAGCAGCCGCGGUAAUAC